rnacentral:rRNA from 1 species
AUUGAACGCUGGCGGCAUGCUUUACACAUGCAAGUCGGACGAGUGGCGAACGGGUGAGUAAUUUAUUGGACCGUACCGAGUAUUGGGGAUUACCCAAUCAAAAGAUUGGCUAAUCCCGCAUAUUAUCCAGCCGGCCAAUAUCUGAUUAGCGAGUUGUUGGGGUAAAGGCCUACCAAGGAGACGAGCAGUAGCGGGUCUGAGAGUAUGAUCCGCCACACUGGGACUGAGACACGGCCCAGACUCCUACGGGAGGCAGCAGUGGGGAAUUGUGGACAAUGGGCGCAAGCCUGAUCCAGCCAUGCCGCGUGUCUGAAGAAGGCCUUCGGGUUGUAAAGGACUUUUGUUAGGGAAGCGGUACCUAAAGAAUAAGCACCGGCUAACUACGUGCCAGCAGCCGCGGUAAUAC